UUAGGAUUUAACGUCUUUAUUACAUAAAUGAAUAAAUGGCUCCACGAUUCAGCCGCAAUAGCUUUGGAAGGAAUGGGGACAGGGGUAGGGUCUGAAUGUAACUGCUUAUUUCACGGUCUUAUGGUAGCUGAAGAACUGGGUCCAGGAACCACUGAUUCCUAUCACAUACUGCACCUCCAUGAAGGCAAAGCUACAAUACCAAGGACCAAAAAACUGCGCCUGCUCCACGACUAAAUCGCAAUUUUAUAUAAAUUCUUCUACUGCUACUCUGGCUUUCCUUUUGAUCAGAUACAUCUUUUGCCUUUUAGGAAGUAAGUAUUCUAAUAGUAAAGAUUCCCCAUGAAGACUCAAAUCUGAUUUUCCCAACAUUUCCAACCCGCAGCAGGAAGCAGAGCUGUGAGCUGGAGUUAAAGGAACGAUCUCUGAACCGAUAGGAUGCGUUCCUCAUGUCCGGUCUCUUGUGUUCACCGGUAACUACCGCCACGAUCCCGGGGAAGAGAAUGCACUGCAAGCAGCAGCAGAACUUAGCCUUUUAGAAAUCCUGUUUUGUCUCAAGACUUCAGGUUCUCACUACUUCUCAAAGCAGUAUUACUGACCUGGUGCUGAAAAUUAGGGAGGUUCAAGUAAUCUUUGAAGCAGAUUAAAAUGUAACAACAACAAAACAAGAAAAAAAACUGGUCUCCCAUUUUGCACAACUAUACUUCUCUCUGAAGCCUUGAAGAAGGGUGAUUUUUCUGGGAUUAGUUAGUAUUCUCAGGGCUGGGGGGGGGGGUGUCCUAUGAUCUUGUACUCCAUUGAUUAAACCCUUGACUUUGUGCCUAGAGGGCUUUUGAGAGAAACGGAGUUGGCAGAUAAAUAAAUAAAUAAAUAGAUAGAUAAAUAAUAAAUAGAUAAAUAAGUACAUACAUACAAACAUACAAUUCGAUUGGCAGAUUCAUCAGCACCACCGCACAAUAGAGGGAAGAGAACAAGAUUAAAGUGGAAGGCUGAGAGAGGAAGGGACUUAAGGGGGAGGACAAGGAGGGUAUGGGGCGGGUGGGAGAGAGAGGUCUCGACUUAGAGCAAGUCCAGGUCGAUCGAGCGGAUGCUGGCAAUAGGGGCUCUCCAGAAGUUGAAGGUGCUAUACUCAAGGAGGGGGUCGCCUUCAGGGCUCUUCCGCUCAGCUCCGGUUGCCUGCCCACCCAUUUUGCCAAUGCUGUUGCUCUCCUUGCUCUUGUAGGUAGGUGAAUCUGACAGGCCCAGGCCUUCCAGCUCCGACAGAUCCAGUUCUGGGAUGGGCAUCCUCCAGAAAAGAAAGGAGCUGUACUGGCUACUCACAGGGUCCCGCAUGAUUCCCUGAGGAAGAGAAAAUCACUUGUUAGUCCUCAUGCUAGAGCAACCUAGGGCUUUCCCUUGCUUAUGUUGUUCGUU
rnacentral:lncRNA from 1 species